UGGGGAAUAUUGGACACUGGGCGAAAGCCUGAUCCAGCCAUGCCGCGUGUGUGAAGAAGGUCUUCGGAUUGUAAAGCACUUUAAGUUGGGAGGAAGGGCAGUAAGCGAAUACCUUGCUGUUUUAACGUUACCGACAGAAUAAGCACCGGCUAACUCUGUGCCAGCAGCCGCGGUAAUACAGAGGGUGCAAGCGUUAAUCGGAAUUACUGGGCGUAAAGCGCGCGUAGGUGGUUCGUUAAGUUGAAUGUGAAAGCCCCGGGCUCAACCUGGGAACUGCAUCCAAAACUGGCGAGCUAGAGUAGGGCAGAGGGUGGUGGAAUUUCCUGUGUAGCGGUGAAAUGCGUAGAUAUAGGAAGGAACACCAGUGGCGAAGGCGACCACCUGGGCUCAUACUGACACUGAGGUGCGAAAGCGGGGGGAGCAAACAGG
rnacentral:rRNA from 1 species